rnacentral:rRNA from 1 species
GCUGGCAGCUAGCUAUCUGCAACUCUCAAAUGGUCCCCUGAAGUUAAGCAGGGCUGCGCCCGGUCAGUACCUGAAUGGGAGACCUCAUGGGAAAGCUAGGUUGCUGCCAGUG